rnacentral:rRNA from 1 species
CUAUGCGCCUUGCCAGCCCGCUCAGGUGUGCCAGCAGCCGCGGUAAUACGUAGGGGGCAAGCGUUAUCCGGAUUUACUGGGUGUAAAGGGAGCGUAGACGGCCAGACAAGUCUGAAGUGAAAAUCCAGCGCUUAACGUUGGAAGUGCUUUGGAAACUGCCGGGCUGGAGUGCAGGAGGGGCAGGCGGAAUUCCUAGUGUAGCGGUGAAAUGCGUAGAUAUAUGGAAGAACACCAGUGGCGAAAGCGGCUCUCUGGUCUGUAACUGACGCUGAGGUUCGAAAAGCGUGGGUAGCAAACAGG